rnacentral:lncRNA from 1 species
UUACAGGCGUGAGCCACCAUGACCAGCCUGAAAUAUAUUUUAAGUGAAUAUAGAAUUAUAGUUUGCCAGUUAUUUCAGCACUGUAAGGGUGUCUGUCAUUGUGCUCUCUGGCUUCCCUGGCUUAUGAUGAAAAGUUGGCCAUUACCUUUAUUAUUAUUCCUUGAAGGUAAUGAGUCGUUUAUCUAUAGUUGAUUUUAUAAUUUUUCUUUGGCAUCAGUUUUUCAUAAGUUUACUUUUGGAAAAUGCAUAGACUAUGAAAAGAUCAUCAUGAAUAAGUUCUAGCUCAACUUCUUGUUGUGUGGGGUCUGGCAUUAUUCUAAUUUCUCUUAUCUUCAGGGCAAAACCAAAAUUGAAUCUCAAACUGAAAGUUUGGGGUGUUUACAAGUGCCUCUACUAUUUGGUAAUCCCUGAGUUCCAGUUUUUGUCUUUCCAGCCAAAUGAGUCUUUUGCUCUCUUUACUUAACAUUUUAUCCUCUAAUUAACUGUGUUUUGCUUAUAUUCACAAUAACUUGCCCUGGGCAUAUGCAGUUCAAGAAUCAGUAAAUGCCUCAAAAGGAAAUUGCAGGAAGACUAUCAGGCUCACUUCUCUAUACAGUAUUUUUCUUUCCUCCAAGAUUUUGACUCCUCAAAUCAUGGUUGCUUUGGCAGCCUUGAGCUCCAAUUUUUGUCUACAAAGCCCACAGAGACUGCCACAGGCUCUAGAAUGUUGUUUUCUGUUUGACGUUUAUGUCCAGUGUAGUGAAUGAGCAAAUGCACCCAGAAGAAAUGUAAUCUCACCUCAAUGUGUUUCUUCUCUGCAGAAACUGUGCCCAUCAAGACCUGGCUG